GGCUCCUGGUCACCCUGGCCCGGGUCGGGCGUCGCCUCCCCGGCGCGGGCGGCCUGGCCGAGGGACGAGGGUCAGUGGACGGACGGCGCCAGGGCAGUGCCCACGCGCGGCAGAGCCGUACCUUCGGGCCCCCAGAGGCUGGGGCUGGCCCUAUGGGCCUCUGUGCUGGGUUUCUUCUCUGCACUGCAAGGCUGGCUCUUCUGACUUCUUCCAGGUGUGAUUGAGCACCCUUGCACUUGCUGUCACCCUGUCUGUCUGCAGGAUCCCCGGUUCCCCUUCAGGGACGGAAAUGAGUCAGAAAAUAGGAAACGUGUUUGUCUGGGAUGGAGCCCUGACCCUGUGCUCACACUUAAGGAGGAAGGCUCAGCAGGCUGCCUCCCAGAAUGGGAGGUUCCCAAGCCAGCCGUACUUCUGAGGUGCUGCAAUCAGGGCUGCAACUGCAUCCUGUUCUCAGUGAAGUAGAAUGUGCUCAAGCCAAUGAAGAAAAGGUUUUUGGGUUUGUUUGGUUUUUUUUUUUUUUAGUUGGAGUCUUGCUCUGUCGCCCAGACUGGAGUGCCGUGGCAUGAUCUCGGCUCACUGGGUUCAAGCGAUUCUUCUGCCUCAGCUUCCCAAGUAGCUAGGAUUACAGGCACCCAACACCACGCCCAGCUAAUUUUUGUAUUUUUAGUAGAGAUGAGGUUUCACCAUGUUGGCCAAGUUGGUCUGGAAGUCCUGACCUCGUGAUCCUCCCACCUCAGCCUCCCAAAGUGUUGGGAUUACAGGAAUAAACCACUGUAUUUUUUUUUCAGAAGCCCUAGAAGCUAGCCACUGUAUUUUUUAAAAUUAGAUUGGCUGAGCAAGGUGGCUCAUGCCUUUUACCUCAACACUUUAGGAGGCGAAGGAAGGAGGAUCACCUGAGACUGGAGUUCAAGACCAGCCUGGGCAACAGAGUGAGACUGUCUCUGAGAAAGAAUUUUAAAAAUUAAACUAUUCAGCCUUUGUCAGUG